UCUUCUUGAAUAGAUUUGAGGUCGUGCCUGCCCACUGAUUUUUGAAGGGCCGCGGUAUUUUGACCGUGCAAAGGUAGCAUAAUCAUUAGUCUUUUAAUUGAAGGCUGGAAUGAAGGGUUUGACGAAACAAUCGCUGUCUCGGGAUUAUUAAUUGAAUUUUACUUUUAAGUUAAAAGGCUUAAAUAUGAGUGGGGGACGAGAAGACCCUAUAGAUCUUUAUAAGAAAUCUUUUAUUUUUUGUGUAGAUGUGUUAUGAAUAAUUUAUUAUUUUUUAUUUCGUUGGGGUGAUGAGAGAAUAUAUUAACUUCUUUUUAUGGAACUUUGAUAGGUGGAUUUUUGAUCCUGUAUUAUGGAAUUAAGAAUAAGAUACCUUAGGGAUAACAGCGUAAUUUCGUUGGAGAGUUCUUAUCGAUAAUGAAGAUUGCGACCUCGAUGUUGGAUUAAGAAUAUAUUUGGGUGCAGAAG
rnacentral:rRNA from 1 species